CUGGGUGAGGGGGAUAAACGUCCAAAUCUGCCGCAUCUGGCCCAUAGUUUGAAGACCCUUGGACUAAACUCUACCUCUUGGGGAGAGGGGGCUGCCUCACUAAGGAAUUCUAUUUGACAAUGAAACCCCAGGUCCGCCUCCUAUUUCCCAGUACUUCUUGUCUCCCCGGCAAGCUCCUUGAAGACAGGGGCUGCUCCAUCUUGUCUUUGUAUCCCUGGUCCUCAGCACAGUGACUAACACCUAAAAGGUCAAAAAAUAUUUGCAAUAAAUUGGGCUGAGUUGUACUUCCAUUCACUCACUGGCAAUUUCUAGGGUUGUUAAUAGAAUUUCUUGGAGUAGUUAAGAGAUUAGACCUCCUGACUCCCUGAAGGCACUAAAUCUCAGACUUUGGGGCUCCAGAUAUUGCCCUCUGUCCAUUCUUAGGGUGACUUCUCACACAGAGUACUUACCGUGCAAGUCAAUUCUGGACUUGUUGGCUUAAUGGGGAAAUUCUAGCAUGUUGUUCCAAAACUAGCUUGGGAAAGCAUCUAUUAAGCUCUUACUGUGUACCUGGCACAUAGAAACUAAGGCCAUCGUCAAUAACUUAUAGUUUAGAGAGGAGUCUAGGGUACUGGGAAAUUAGGUGAUUUUGUCCAGAGAUACACAGUCAGGAUGCUUUAGAAGUAAGAACCAACUCAGGUCAGAUUCAGAGGUCAGUUUUUAAGCCAUUAAGGCACAUUUACAUAAUACCUGCAGAUUAUGGAUUUAUAAUUGAAUGGGAGCUUAGGGACUCUCUAGUCCAACCCUGUGUUACUGAUGAGGGACUUGUGAUUUCUAUGCCAUAGAACUCCCCAGUUAAAUGACCACCUCCAGGUACCUUCUUUGCAGUUUAUAUAUUGUUUUGAUAAAGAAACUGAGACUCACAGAGACUUGUUUAAAGCUGUGGAGACAGUUAAAAAACAGACUUUUUAUUCAAAUCCGGUCCUUCUGAUUCCAAAUCCAGACUUGUUUAGUUUACUGACUUCUAUUUCUAAAAAACAUUUCCCUAGGGUUUAUAGAAUUUUCUCAUAUUGCAGGUAUUACUGAUCAUAUUAAUGAUAAAAUCAUCUGGUAAAUUACUUACCCAAGAUCAUAUCCUAAUAAGUAUUUAGGACAGGAUUCGGACUCAGAUUUUCCUGAUUUGAAAGUUGACACUUAACCAUGCUGUCUCUCUCUAUUGCUUGUUUUGGGAGUCAAUGGGAUAGCUAUAUGAGUCUUGAGCUUUCCCUCAGCAACUGGGGAACCACCUCCUUGUCCCUCAGCCGUGGCUUUUUUAUGUCUUAGUAUGCUCUUGUCAAUCCAGAAACUCCCAGACAUGAAGCAAUCACCUUGAUCUUCCAGGGAGGAAAAGGGUUCAUUCUGGUCCCAGCAUGAGUAAGACAUUGUGAGCCUCCUUUCUAGCUGAAGUGGAGUCUUGUCUCACAUGAAUUUCAGCUUCAUGUCAGUGUGGCUUUUCCCCCUUCCCCUCCAACAUUUACUAAUAAUAGAAAAACAAGAAAUUUAAAAAAGUUUUCUUUCCUUUUUUUUCCUUCACUAAAUUUUACCCAGUGAAUUGUUAUGUGUAAGGGAGACAGACCCUCAAGAGUCAUGAGUAGGUAUAAGCAAACUGUACCAUCUGGCACAUGAGACAUGGCCCAAAAAGCAGUAUUGAGGAUGUACAUGACCAGAAAGGGAGGGAUUGAAUUUUUAAUUGAGCCUUUUGAUCGAAUUAGGCUGCUAAGGGGUCUAGCACCUGCUAUCUACAGAGUUAAGCUACAGUAGGUACCCUGAGAGAGAGACAGGAGGCAGGGAGAUCAAACCAUCAUUGAGCUUGAUAACCAUCUCCCCUCAAAUGGUAAUGGAGAGAGCCUGGGUAAUAGAAAUCCUUCCAGCUCAGUCCCCGAAGCCAUAGGGCACAUUGUGGAUGUACUUCACCCCCAACUACUGAAGAGUCAGCAAAGAAAGUUCUUGCCACCAAAAUCUUGGCCGUCUCAAAUGGUUUAACACCACAAGUGGAUGAGAUUUUAGCAGCAGAAAAGUGUUUAAAAGAAGAGGCCUUACCAUCCCAAGGAGAUCAAAGAAAAUGGAAAAGAACCCAUGUGUUCAAAAAUAUUAAUGGCAGCUCUUUUUGAGGUGGCAAAGAAUCAGAAAUUGAUAGGGUUCCCAUCAAUUAGGGGAAUUGCUGAACCAACUGUGGUAUAUUAUUGUGAUGGAAUACUAUUGUAUGUUGAGGGAGAUGAGUUCAGAGAAACCCAGGAAAAUAGAUUAACUGAUGCAAAGUGAAGUGAGCAGAACCAGAACAUUGUACAUUGGAUCAAUGAUCAACUGUAAAAGACAGCUGCUCUGAUCAAAACAAUGAUCCAAGACAAUUCCAAAGAACCCGUGUAAAAAAUAUUCUCCACAUCUGGAGAGAUUGAGAGAGAGAGAGAGAGAAGUGACGAACUCUGAAUGCAGAUUGAAACACCCUUUUUAACUACCUUAUUUUUCUUCGUGUGUGUGUUUUUUCUUUUGCAGCAAGGCUAAUAUGGAAAUGUUUUGCAUGACUUCACAUGUAUAAUGAAUAUCGUUAUUGCCUGCCUUCUCAAGAAGCUGGGGAAAGAUGGGAGGAAUGGAGAGUUGCCUUUGCGUAGCUGUCUCGAUUCCUGGAAUAUACUCUUUUCAUUUCCAUUGCCUAAAUUGUGGCAAGAUUCAGGCCAUCUGCAACUUCCUCCAGGAAGCAAUUCCUGAUUCCCCUAGUGGUUUGGGGCCCCUGAACCCCCUUCAAAUGAUCAGGUAUUUAUUUAUUUAGUUGUUCACAUUUUGUAGCUUUCCAGCAGAAACAGGCGUUUCUCCAAAGCAGAGAGUGAUUUCCAGUUUGUCUCUGUAUCCUUGGUACCUAACACAGGUUGGGCUUAAUGAUGUUUGUGGGGUUGGACUAGAUUGGAAUUGGAUAACUGUUGAACCACCCGAGUGCUGCACGAAUACCCAAGAAUUACUGCAAAAUCCAGAGGCCUCCAAUAUGCUGAGUAGAUCUUCCAUGUAGUGGACAUAGAUAAAAUUCACAGGUGAGGAGGAUGUAAAUCAAUGACCUGCACUGGGGAAGGGAGCAUCACAUGGAAGUAUCAAAGUUAAUACAUUUGGGUGUCUCAGACAAAGAUGAAAAGCAGAUAUCCCAUGAGAAGAUACCUUCCUCUAUUUCUUUGCAGAGGUGUGGGGACUAUAUGUGGAACACUGUAUAUAGCAUCAGACUUUUUUUGGAGAUAUUAUUUGGUUGUGAUGAAUCAUUUUUCACUUUUUUAUUCU